GACGAACGCUGGCGGCAGGCCUAACACAUGCAAGUCGAACGGUAACAGGAAGAAGCUUGCUUCUUUGCUGACGAGUGGCGGACGGGUGAGUAAUGUCUGGGAAACUGCCUGAUGGAGGGGGAUAACUACUGGAAACGGUAGCUAAUACCGCAUAACGUCGCAAGACCAAAGAGGGGGACCUUCGGGCCUCUUGCCAUCGGAUGUGCCCAGAUGGGAUUAGCUAGUAGGUGGGGUAACGGCUCACCUAGGCGACGAUCCCUAGCUGGUCUGAGAGGAUGACCAGCCACACUGGAACUGAGACACGGUCCAGACUCCUACGGGAGGCAGCAGUGGGGAAUAUUGCACAAUGGGCGCAAGCCUGAUGCAGCCAUGCCGCGUGUAUGAAGAAGGCCUUCGGGUUGUAAAGUACUUUCAGCGGGGAGGAAGGGAGUAAAGUUAAUACCUUUGCUCAUUGACGUUACCCGCAGAAGAAGCACCGGCUAACUCCGUGCCAGCAGCCGCGGUAAUACGGAGGGUGCAAGCGUUAAUCGGAAUUACUGGGCGUAAAGCGCACGCAGGCGGUUUGUUAAGUCAGAUGUGAAAUCCCCGGGCUCAACCUGGGAACUGCAUCUGAUACUGGCAAGCUUGAGUCUCGUAGAGGGGGGUAGAAUUCCAGGUGUAGCGGUGAAAUGCGUAGAGAUCUGGAGGAAUACCGGUGGCGAAGGCGGCCCCCUGGACGAAGACUGACGCUCAGGUGCGAAAGCGUGGGGAGCAAACAGGAUUAGAUACCCUGGUAGUCCACGCCGUAAACGAUGUCGACUUGGAGGUUGUGCCCUUGAGGCGUGGCUUCCGGAGCUAACGCGUUAAGUCGACCGCCUGGGGAGUACGGCCGCAAGGUUAAAACUCAAAUGAAUUGACGGGGGCCCGCACAAGCGGCGGAGCAUGCGGAUUAAUUCGAUGCAACGCGAAGAACCUUACCAAGGCUUGACAUGCACGGCGGCACUGCAGAGAUGUGGUGGCAUUUAGUUGGUCGUGUGCAGGUGGUGCAUGGUUGUCGUCAGCUCGUGUCGUGAGAUGUUGGGUUAAGUCCCGCAACGAGCGCAACCCUUGCCCUAUGUUGCCAGCACGUGAUGGUGGGGACUCGUGGGGGACUGCCGGGGUUAACUCGGAGGAAGGUGGGGAAGACGUCAAAUCAUCAUGCCCCUUAUGUCUUGGGCUUCACGCAUGCUACAAUGGCUGGUACAGAGGGUUGCGAUACUGUGAGGUGGAGCGAAUCCCUUAAAGCCAGUCUCAGUUCGGAUUGGGGUCUGCAACUCGACCUCAUGAAAUCGGAGUCGCUAGUAAUCGCAGAUCAGCAACGCUGCGGUGAAUACGUUCCCGGGGC
rnacentral:rRNA from 1 species